GACGAACGCUGGCGGCGUGGAUUAGGCAUGCAAGUCGAACGGUAUCAUCCUUUCGGGGGUGAGAGAGUGGCGAACUGGUGAGUAACACGUAGGUUAUCUACCCUCAAGACGGGGACAACCCAGGGAAACUUGGGCUAAUACCGGAUGUGAGCAACUUUUAGUUGUUUGAAAGGUGGCGUAAGCUGUCGCUUGGGGAUGAGCCUGCGUCCUAUUAGUUAGUUGGUGAGGUAACGGCUCACCUAGGCAAUGAUAGGUAGGCGGCCUUAACGGGUGGUCGCCCACACUGGGAUUGAGAUACGGCCCAGACUCCUACGGGAGGCAGCAGUCGAGAAUAGUCUACAAUGGUCGGAAGACUGAUAGUGCGACGCCGCGUGAACGAUGAAUCCCUUCGGGGUGUAAAGUUUUUUAUACGUGAGCAGUGCUUCUUAUAUUAACAGUAUGGGGAGAGAGAUAUUAGCAUAUGAAUAAGCAACGGACUAACUCCGUGCCAGCAGCCGCGGUAAU
rnacentral:rRNA from 1 species